UAAUAUAGCAUAUUCUACUUUCUCUUUCACUCAUUUUACGCUUUCAAUGCAUAUUUUACGUAAUCAAUGCAUUAAACACGUCCGACUGUCACCGCGUCCUAUGGCACACUUCUCUCAGAUGAGUGAGCACACUCAUUUCGAGGGUGACACAUUUUCGCGCUGACGAUUGUAUGGAAUGCCUUUUCUAAAGGUUAUAAUUCUAUGGUAUAAUUUAUAAACAAAUGUAUGAAGAUAAGCGG